rnacentral:misc_RNA from 1 species
GAAAUGCGAUAAGUAGUGUGAAUUGCAGAAUUCAGUGAAUCAUCGAAUCUUUGAACGCACAUUGCGCCCCUCGGUAUUCCGUGGGGCAUGCCUGUUCGAGCGUCAUCUACACCCUCAAGCCCCCGGGCCUGGCGUUGGGGAUCGGCGGAAGCCCCCAGCGGGCACAACGCCGUCCCCCAAAUACAGUGGCGGUCCCGCCGCAGCUUCCAUUGCGUAGUAGCUAACACCUCGCAACUGGAGAGCGGCGCGGCCACGCCGUAAAACACCCAACUUCUGAAUGUUGACCUCGAAUCAGGUAGGAAUACCCGCUGAACUUAAGC